GGGAAAUCUGCAGCAGGUGUGUCCAAUGAUGUGGCGAUUGCAGACAGGGCAGUUCAUGGGUAUAAAGAGGGCAUCGAGGAUACAGGAAGGUGUGUUGUUUUUGGCCUCCCAAGGAACGCCACGAGUGGGACGGAGUGUUUGGGCGCUGGAGUAGGGCGAAGCAGAUGAGAGUAAUUGUGGAGUCGCUAAGCGAAUUGGAGGAUUUGAAAACGGCCACUGGAACAGGUUUGCCAAAGUGAAGUUGAUGGAGAGAAGUCGUACUCACUCGUGUCUGUUGUACGAAGGUGCCGUAGAGAAAUAGUGACAUUGUGGAACAACGACGACCUUUCUGGGCGUCUGCACGAAGCUGGGGAGAGAAAGAGAGCGGGAGGAGACCAGUAUUACGAAGACUGUGAGUACAUUGGAUUGCUUAGAUUGUUGUGUAUAUCUGGAUGAGAAAGAGAGCGGGAGAGGACCAGUAUCACGAAGAUUCUUGUUGAGCGGCCCCAUCGUUGGAGGACGAGACGAGUGGGUGAGCCGAAGUAGAGCGUGGGUGAAUGGAUGUUAUUUGGCUGUGGCCACACCGUAAAGUUUGGAACACUUACCGUGACAGCGACUGCAAAUUCCUCCAGGACGAAAUCCGACCGGGUGUGGAGUACCGACCUUAAAAAUCACUGAAGUGUGUGUAGUGCAGUGGGUGAGUCUGUCUUUGACGUGUGUGCACUAAAGCUUUGCAGUGCUGUGCCGUGUCCCUGUUGUCUGUACUUGCCCUCCAGGCCGAGAAAGGUUCCUGUUGGAAAGAACGUAGGCUGCCGUGGCGGUGCCCACCUAUUCCACCUACGCCCGCCUAUAACUCCGUUCUCUGGACCCAGCUUGAAGGGAUUUGUGUGUCGCCUUAUACUUACCUAGGAGGUCAAUGGGAGUGGAGGAGCUGUCCAGACGCUGGAGAAGAGAAGGGCGCCACGGGAAAUCAAGCCGCUAAGGAAGGACUUAGGAUUAGUCAGGAGACUGGUAGAAGUUCUGGGAAAGGACGAAAGAGCCCUUUGCCCCCCCCUCCCCUUGUGAUUACUUACCAAAGACCUCCAGAGUUCUCAGGCUCAGUUCCCUCCUGCCAAGAGACGAAGAUCAAAAUUUUAGAUUCCCCUUUUCUCCUUUCCUAGAUUACCUUUUUAAAUAAUUUAAAUAAAGUUGUUUUAAAUUACCCUUAACUUAUCUUGUGUGUCUGGUCCUUGGGGUGAUCUUGGGACCUCCUCGAGGUGGAAGUCGGGAAGGGGCGUGACUCGCAACACCUGUGGUCCGCUCCGACCUGUGACAAUAUGACAACUAUUUUCA
ensembl:lncRNA